rnacentral:lncRNA from 13 species
AUGUCUCAGUACCCGCCUCUACAUGGACGUUUGCAGUCAGAUCCAACUUCAGUUGGAAGUCUCCUGAGAUUGUCAGAUUACGUGCGCACUCAGCUGCAGCUUGUCAAUUUUGUCAAAUGCGUCAGGGAAAACCUCUCUCAAGCAUGUCACUGGGGAGUGGGAUCUGACGAGGUGAACUUGAGAUGGAGAUCCAUACGGAAGGGGGGCAGGAAAAGCCUUGAAGCUGUUGACUUUUGGAGGUGCCCAGCGUUACAAGCAAGCGGAGAAUUCAUACUAGCCAAACAACAAAGUUUGGCAGCAAUGUUUUGUGGCACCAACUUCAGUUCGGUGCUAUUCCAUCUGUUUGAAGCUCCCGAGUUCAUUUGCACCUAACUUCUGUUGUGGAAAGCAGUAGGGAGUACAAUUAAAUAAGAGUUCAUAAACAUGGCAAAUCUGUCCCUGAACGUUAUUAAUGCAUAAAAGAGGACAAAUACCUUUAAGUUUAAGGCAUGAACAUAAAAGGAAGUUUUAGUUUAGUAUGAAUGCUAAUUAAAUAUUUAUGUGCUUUCGCUGCCCUAAAAACCUUGUAAGAUGCUUCUUGGAAAACUUUUAACAAUAGGUUUGUGUGAAGAGUUAACGUUGCUGUGCUAGCCUUUUACAUUAUUCACUUUAUCAUCAUCUCACUUCAAACACCAUGUUUUUACGUGAAAAUGCUUGCUGAUGGCUUUCGAAUCACAAGUCAAAAUGCCAAGCACACACAGAUUGUUUCAGAUAUUGUAGAGCUUUGAUGCAGUAUAGGGUUUUCAAAAGGUUAGGCUACCCUGGGGUCUAUUAAGUCAACAGUAUGUAUAUAAGGCAAAGUAAAGGACCAUGAGAGACAAGGUAGUUGAAAGGUAAAGUGGGGCCCACACACUCAGAAGUUCCAACCCAAACCGUUAUUGGUUUACCUUUAAAUUGGACAUGUUUUGAUCCAAAUGACGAAAACCUGACACGUUCAUUUUUUUAAUGUGUUUCAGUAUCUGAGUAUGCAUGCUCUACUUUAUCAUUCAUUUUGUUUACGGCCCAGCACAGAGUGUUGGAUUUAUUCUGGCUUUAGGCAAGUUAGCAGUAACAGUGAAUUAUCCAAACUUCAGUAUAGCCAUUCAUAUGUAGGCCUCAUCAAUCACACAUUAAGUUAUAGAGUAACUAUCCUUUUGAGUGCAUCAAAGUACAGAGCAAAGCACUGCUCUAGCCUUCCUUUGUCUUAAACUUCAAAAACUGACUGCCCUCUACGGAACGCUAGUUUGACAAAUGCCUUAUAAAUGUCAUGCUAAAAUAUUAGCAACAUAAGAUAAAGUUUUAGCAUGAAUUAUGGCUUGAUUCAGGCAAUGACUCACAUUAAUGGGUCCCCCCUAGGCCUCAGAUCUCCACUUAGCUACUUAAACAAGAUUCAUUUGGAGAGAUUAAGUUUUAAGAUAUGUGGUCUACCUAAUGGACCACAGGCUCCCUCUGAGGAGAAAUUAGACUAAAUAAAUUCCUUUAUGUUUUGACUGUCAAAACUUACUCAUUCAAUAUACUGUAAGUGCAUGUAACCUCUGGGAUAUGAUUCUCUGUGUUCUGAUUUUACAAAAUAAAUCAAUGUAAUGUAAUUGUGAACAUUGAUUUGUGAUGUAUGUAUGUAUGUAUAUCUGCAUUUUUGAUUCCCUUUACUGAACCCUUUUUCAGUAUUUUCUGUGCAUGCGUUUCCUUUUUCAUUCAUCAGUUCAUGGUUUAUUCAUGUAGAUAAUCAAAUGAACUGUGAUUUGAUCUGGCAAUUAACCUCUUUAGACUGCCCUGUUUGUUUAGCCCCAUUUCCAGUUUAAUUUGACCCAACAUGUCUAUUGGAUCCUAGAGAUUUAUCUUCAAAUGUGUUAACUGUGGGUGGUACAAAAUAACAUUACAGAUACCAAAAAGUUAAAAGUGAGCUGCUCAUUGUAGUGGAAGAUUAUAUCAUACAAUUAUAUUUAAAAAAUGUAUUCAUAUCGUCGAUGCUGCUUGAUGUUGAAUUCCCUCGAGGGAGCCAAAUUAACUUCAAUUAGAGACUAUUAGGCUCUAAUGUGCAAUUGCUCAUUACAAAUUAAAAGACAAUUUCACCAAAGGG